rnacentral:rRNA from 1 species
AUUGAACGCUGGCGGCAGGCCUAACACAUGCAAGUCGAGCGGAGCGGCGGACGGGUGAGUAAUGCCUAGGAAUCUGCCUGGUAGUGGGGGAUAACGUCCGGAAACGGGCGCUAAUACCGCAUACUAUCAGAUGAGCCUAGGUCGGAUUGGCUAGUUUGUGGGGUAAAGGCCUACCAAGGCGACGAUCCGUACCUGGUCUGAGCGGAUGAUCAGUCACACUGGAACUGAGACACGUUCCAGAAACAUACGGGAGGCAGAAGGGGGGAGAUUUGGACAAGGGGGGAAAGCCGGAGCCAGCCCUGCUGCGUGUGUGAAGAAGGUCUUAGGAUUGUAAGGCACUUUAAGUUGGGAGGCGUUACCAGCAGAAUAAGCCCCGGCUAACUUCGUGCCAGCAGCCGCGGUAAUUC